rnacentral:ncRNA from 1 species
CCCACUGUGUUUAAGCAUAUAAUUAAGCAGAGCAAAAGAAACUUACAAGGAUUCCCCUAGUAACGACAAGAGAACCGAGAAGAUCCCAGCAUGAAAAUUGGGUGGCAGUGCCACCUGAAUUGUAGUUUGUAUAAGCAUCCUUAACGGCGGAUCGGGCCCAAGUCCCCUGGAAGGGGGCGCCUGAGAGGGUGACAGCCCUGUUGGGUUGGGACCUUGCCGCACCACAAGGUGUUGUCGGUGAGUUGGGUUGUUUGGGAAUGCAUCCCUAAUCGAGUGGUAAAUUCCAUCCAAGGCUAAAUACGGGAAAGAGGCCGAUAACGAACAAGUACUGCAAGGGAAAGAUGAAAAGGACUUUGAAAAUAGAGUUAAAGAGUUAUUGAAAUUGCCAGGAGGGAAGCAGAUGGAGGCCAACGAUGCGUCUCGAUCAGCUGUGAAAUGACUCAAGCUAGUUCGUCGCUUGACUCGAGGUGCGAACCAGCACAGGCCGUUGCAUCGGCACAAGCACGGGUGGAGUAAUUCUUGUUGGUUUUCUAUUGUGGCGGUCGAAGAGCGAAGAAAUCAAGGGAUUCCACCAACACUCAUUAAAAUUUAUUUUUAAUCGCUUGCCAAUACUUCUUUUAGUUUGUUGAUAAUGA